UACGUAGGGCGCAAGCGUUGUCCGGAAUUAUUGGGCGUAAAGAGCUCGUAGGCGGCUUGUCACGUCGGCUGUGAAAGCCCGGGGCUUAACCCCGGGUCUGCAGUCGAUACGGGCAGGCUAGAGUGUGGUAGGGGAGAUCGGAAUUCCUGGUGUAGCGGUGAAAUGCGCAGAUAUCAGGAGGAACACCGGUGGCGAAGGCGGAUCUCUGGGCCAUUACUGACGCUGAGGAGCGAAAGCGUGGGGAGCGAACAGG
rnacentral:rRNA from 1 species